GUGCCAGCAGCCGCGGUAAUACGGAGGGUGCAAGCGUUGUUCGGAAUUAUUGGGCGUAAAGCGCGUGUAGGCGGUUUGUUAAGUCUGGUGUGAAAGCCCUGGGCUCAACCUGGGAAGUGCAUUGGAUACUGGCAAACUUGAGUACGGGAGAGGAUAGUGGAAUUUCGAGUGUAGGGGUGAAAUCCGUAGAUAUUCGAAGGAACACCGGUGGCGAAGGCGGCUAUCUGGACCGAUACUGACGCUGAGACGCGAAAGCGUGGGGAGCAAACAGGAUUAGAAACCCCCGUAGUCC
rnacentral:rRNA from 1 species